CUUUAUUUUCGUGGCGUUGCAUGCGCAGUGGGGUUGUUUUUUCCCCUGCAACAAGUAAAAAUGGCGACAUCCUCAGGAGCUGACAUAAUAGGGAAGACGCGGAUUUCCAAAUUCUGUGUCAGACAUGUUUGGGGGAAAAUCCAUACAUCUGCAUAAACAAAGAGAAGUAUGCGGAAGAAUGCAAGAUAUGUGCCAGUCCCUUCACUGUGUUCCCGCUGGUGUCCAGGAACGAGGAUGUGCUUCAAGAAGACAGAGGUGUGUCAGACCUGCAGCAAGAUGGUCUGUCAGACCUGGAGUAUGGUAUGUCAUAGAUGUCUUACCUACACCACCUUAAUACCUAUUCAAGCCAUGGCUACUUUGUCUUGACCAGAGCUGCCUGUAGCCAAAUCAAAGAUUUUAAGACACCGGGCUGGACAUGAAGGAUGACGUGCCGAAGUCAGACGUAAACAAGGAGUACUACAAACAAUAUGGGGAGAGACGUAUGGAGGGGGAGAGGAGGCUGCAGCCCUGUUAUUUCUGUGAUCGCAAAUUCAACAGCCAGUGUUUUCCCCUGUUAUCUCCCCGACUCCCUGU